rnacentral:rRNA from 1 species
UAGUGGCGAACGGGUGAGUAACACGUGGGCAAUCUGCCCUUCACUCUGGGACAAGCCCUGGAAACGGGGUCUAAUACCGGAUAACACUCCUGCCUGCAUGGGCGGGGGUUAAAAGCUCCGGCGGUGAAGGAUGAGCCCGCGGCCUAUCAGCUUGUUGGUGGGGUAAUGGCCCACCAAGGCGACGACGGGUAGCCGGCCUGAGAGGGCGACCGGCCACACUGGGACUGAGACACGGCCCAGACUCCUACGGGAGGCAGCAGUGGGGAAUAUUGCACAAUGGGCGAAAGCCUGAUGCAGCGACGCCGCGUGAGGGAUGACGGCCUUCGGGUUGUAAACCUCUUUCAGCAGGGAAGAAGCGAAAGUGACGGUACCUGCAGAAGAAGCGCCGGCUAACUACGUGCCAGCAGCCGCGGUAAUACGUAGGGCGCAAGCGUUGUCCGGAAUUAUUGGGCGUAAAGAGCUCGUAGGCGGCUUGUCACGUCGGAUGUGAAAGCCCGAGGCUUAACCUCGGGUCUGCAUUCGAUACGGGCUAGCUAGAGUGUGGUAGGGGAGAUCGGAAUUCCUGGUGUAGCGGUGAAAUGCGCAGAUAUCAGGAGGAACACCGGUGGCGAAGGCGGAUCUCUGGGCCAUUACUGACGCUG